UCUCCUUGGAAAGGUCAUCUUGGCACUGAGAAGAAUAAGGAUAUUCAUGGAUAAAAAAGAAAAACAACAUGGAAAGAGAUGAGGAAUCCUAUGAGCCCUCAAACUUUUAAAAGAAACUGUACUGAGACAAACUAGUAACAUGAAGCGUUAAAGCUUCCGUAAAACAUUUCAACGAGUGCACAAUGUCAAUGGACCGGUGACACCACAAUCAUUCUUACUACUUUGUGGACAGUUGAAAAGAUGGCCAUUAGAAAUUGGUUCCUAAGAACAGAAGAUCUGAUCAAAGAUGUGAUGAUGGUUGAUUGUAGCAGCUGGUGGAUCUACAGUUUUGUAAUCACAAAAGUGAUUGAACUACAGAAUUAAACAUAUUUUAUGCAGUGGUUAAUUAUGUUUGGACGUGAUUAUGUUUCGAAGCCAAAAGUAAUUUAUUGUUAAACUAUCAUAAUAAACAUAAUUAAUUAUUUUAUGCAAUAUUAAAAAAAUAUAUUUGCUACUCUUGUAAAUUCCUUAUUUUAUAACAUUGUUGAUUAAAAUAUUUGAUGUGUCAACAAAUACAGAAAAACAAUAUUCUUUUUUAAUGUGUAUGAUAUUAAAAUAUGGUACUGCAAAUAUUUUUCUUUCUGCAUGGAAAUAUAACAGUAUUUAUAACUGCAUAAUUGGACGGAGUAUGUAGCAAAGUUCAUCAAAAUAGACCUCCGCCCCUAGGUACUGUAGUACCACUACCAAUAUGCCUUCAGGUACAUGCCAGACCUACCUAGCCCAGAUGAAGGCUAGGCCCUAGGCCUACCUCCUUUCAUAGUUAGGCUUACUGUAGGUUAGUCUUGGACAGUAGGCCUGUACCUAGAGGAAGGCCUAGGCUAGGUUGAGAAAGGGUUUCAAUGACAUUGUACAGUACUACAGAAUAGGCUAUUUGUAAUUAAUUGUAUUGUUUGUAACUUUAUUUGGAAGCUUGUUCAGUACUAGGCCAAAGUCUACGAUAUAGCAGUAGUAGCUAGGCCUAGCCUAGGCUAUUUCAAUUGUAAUUAUAAUAAAAUGAACAUUUAAUUUUGAGUAGA